rnacentral:rRNA from 1 species
GAAUCUUGGUCCAUUUAGAGGAAGUAAAAGUCGUAACAAGGUCUCCGUUGGUGAACCAGCGGAGGGAUCAUUACCGAGUUUACAACUCCCAAACCCAAUGUGAACGUUACCAAACUGUUGCCUCGGCGGGAUCUCUGCCCCGGGUGCGUCGCAGCCCCGGACCAAGGCGCCCGCCGGAGGACCAACCUAAAACUCUUUUUGUAUACCCCCUCGCGGGUUUUUUUAUAAUCUGAGCCUUCUCGGCGCCUCUCGUAGGCGUUUCGAAAAUGAAUCAAAACUUUCAACAACGGAUCUCUUGGUUCUGGCAUCGAUGAAGAACGCAGCGAAAUGCGAUAAGUAAUGUGAAUUGCAGAAUUCAGUGAAUCAUCGAAUCUUUGAACGCACAUUGCGCCCGCCAGUAUUCUGGCGGGCAUGCCUGUCCGAGCGUCAUUUCAACCCUCGAACCCCUCCGGGGGGUCGGCGUUGGGGAUCGGCCCUCCCUUAGCGGGGUGGCCGUCUCCGAAAUACAGUGGCGGUCUCGCCGCAGCCUCUCCUGCGCAGUAGUUUGCACACUCGCAUCGGGAGCGCGGCGCGUCCACAGCCGUUAAACACCCAACUUCUGAAAUGUUGACCUCGGAUCAGGUAGGAAUACCCGCUGAACUUAAGCAUAUCAAUAAGCGGAGGAA